rnacentral:siRNA from 1 species
AAUAGGGUGUGAAUAGUUACGGC